rnacentral:rRNA from 1 species
ACGACUCUCGGCAACGGAUAUCUCGGCUCUCGCAUCGAUGAAGAACGUAGCGAAAUGCGAUACUUGGUGUGAAUUGCAGAAUCCCGUGAACCAUCGAGUCUUUGAACGCAAGUUGCGCCCCAAGCCUUCUGGCCGAGGGCACGUCUGCCUGGGCGUCA